GUGGGGAAUCUUAGACAAUGGGGGAAACCCUGAUCUAGCCAUGCCGCGUGAGCGAUGAAGGCCUUAGGGUUGUAAAGCUCUUUCAGCUGGGAAGAUAAUGACGGUACCAGCAGAAGAAGCCCCGGCUAACUCCGUGCCAGCAGCCGCGGUAAUACGGUGGGGGCUAGCGUUGUUCGGAAUUACUGGGCGUAAAGCGCGCGUAGGCGGACCAGAAAGUUGGAGGUGAAAUCCCAGGGCUCAACCUUGGAACUGCCUUCAAAACUCCUGGUCUGGAGUUCGAGAGAGGUGAGUGGAAUUCCGAGUGUAGAGGUGAAAUUCGUAGAUAUUCGCAAGAACACCGGUGGCGAAGGCGGCCAACUGGUCCAUUACUGACGCUGAGGUGCGAAAGCGUGGGGAGCAAACAGGAUUAGAAACCCUUGUAGUCC
rnacentral:rRNA from 1 species